UGUUGAAAUGAAAGGAGAAAAACAGAAAAUCCCAUCAGUACUUCUACCUGUCAUUUUACUAAUGUAAUACAAACAUACAGCACUUAACUCUAUGACUCCAUGAGUCAACAUUCACACACUCAUUGCAACCUGACACAAACUGUGCCAUUAUUAUCUAUCUGUUAAGGAUUUGGCUGAUUGUUAAUCCAGCCAGACCAAUCAGGAGUAGCAAAAGAGAAGACAAUAAAAGGAUUGGAAAUAGGCACAACAGACAAGUACAACAGCCCAGGCUGGAACUAAAAUGGGCCCCAAGGACAGGGAUGGAAGAAAGACAUAAGGUUUGUCUUUAUGAGCCACACUUCAGCACAUGAGAUGAAGCUUCAAUGUAGAAGUCACUGUAAUAUGAGCUCUGCUAGAACUUAAAUCUAGAAUACUUUCAAGAGAUCAAAAUG
rnacentral:lncRNA from 1 species